AAGAAACUAACAAGGAUUCCCUUAGUAACUGCGAGUGAAGUGGGAAAAGCUCAAAUUUAGAAUCUGGCGGUCACUUGGCUGUCCGAGUUGUAAUCUAGAGAAGUGUUGCCCGUGCUGGACCAUGUACAAGUCUCCUGGAAUGGAGCAUCACAGAGGGUGAGAAUCCUGUCUUUGACAUGGACUGCCAGUGCUUUUGUGGUACGCUCUCAAAGAGUCGAGUUGUUUGGGAAUGCAGCUCAAAAUGGGUGGUAAAUGCCAUCUAAAGCUAAAUAUUGGCGAGAGACCGAUAGUGAACAAGUACCGUGAGGGAAAGAUGAAAAGAACUUUGGAAAGAGAGUUAAACAGUACGUGAAAUUGCUGAAAGGGAAACGCUUGAAGUCAGUCACGUUGACUUGGAAUCAGCUCUGCUUUUGCUGGGUGUACUUUCUUGUCAAUGGGUCAGCAUCAAUUUNGACCAUUGGAUAAAGUUGCUGGGAAUGUAGCAUCCUUUUGGAUGUGUUAUAGCCUGGUGAUGCAUACGGUGGUUGGGAUUGAGGAAUUCAGCACGCCACAAGGCCGGGUUUCGACCACGUUCGUGCUUAGGAUGCUGGCAUAAUGGCUUUAAUUGACCCGUCUUGAAACACGGACCAAGGAGUCUAACAUAUCUGCGAGUGUUUGGGUGGAAAACCCAUGUGCGUAAUGAAAGUGAAAGUUGAGAUCCCUUCGGGGAGCAUCGACGCCCGGACCAGACCUUUUGUGACGGAUCCGCGGUAGAGCAUGUAUGUUGGGACCCGAAAGAUGGUGAACUAUGCCUGAAUAGGGUGAAGCCAGAGGAAACUCUGGUGGAGGCUCGUAGCGAUUCUGACGUGCAAAUCGAUCGUCAAAUUUGGGUAUAGGGGCGAAAGACUAAUCGAACCAUCUAGUAGCUGGUUCCUGCCGAAGUUUCCCUCAGGAUAGCAGAAACUCAUAUCAGAUUUAUGUGGUAAAGCGAAUGAUUAGAGGCCUUGGGGUUGAAACAACCUUAACCUAUUCUCAAACUUUAAAUAUGUAAGAACGAGCCGUCUCUUGACUGGACUGCUCGAUGAUUGAGAGUUUCUAGUGGGCCAUUUUUGGUAAGCAGAACUGGCGAUGCGGGAUGAACCGAACGCGAGGUUAAGGUGCCGGAAUUCACGCUCAUCAGACACCACAAAAGGUGUGAGUUCAUCUAGACAGCAGGACGGUGGCCAUGGAAGUCCGAAUCCGCUAAGGAGUGUGUAACAACUCACCUGCCGAAUGAACUAGCCCUGAAGAUGGAUGGCGCUAAGCGUGAUACCAAGCUGCCAUCAGUGUUGACGUGAUGCACUGAU
rnacentral:rRNA from 1 species